rnacentral:rRNA from 1 species
GCGAACGGGGAGCAGCCCAGAGUCUGAAUCAGCUUGUGUGUUAGUGGAACGGUCUGGAAAGUCCGACGGUACAGGGUGAUAGUCCCGUACACCAAAAUGCACAGGUUGUGAACUCGAAGAGUAGGGCGGGACACGUGGUAUCCUGUCUGAAUAUGGGGGGACCAUCCUCCAAGGCUAAAUACUCCUGACUGACCGAUAGUGAACCAGUACCGUGAGGGAAAGGCGAAAAGAACCCCGGCGAGGGGAGUGAAAAAGAACCUGAAACCGUGUACGUACAAGCAGUGGGAGCACCUUCGGGUGUGACUGCGUACCUUUUGUAUAAUGGGUCAGCGACUUAUAUUCUGUAGCAAGGUUAACCGUAUAGGGGAGCCGCAGGGAAACCGAGUCUUAACUGGGCGUUAAGUUGCAGGGUAUAGACCCGAAACCCGGUGAUCUAGCCAUGGGCAGGUUGAAGGUUGGGUAACACUAACUGGAGGACCGAACCGA